UGUCACUGAUAGGAGGAGGAGUCUUGAGCAAAUGUUAAGUUGUCUUAUUAUACAACUGAAGCCUAAACGUAGUAUCGACGUGUUAAAGCGAAUAAAAAGCUACCAACGGGAAGAAGAAGAGACAACAGGAGUAUGAACUUGAUCUUUUACUGAUCAUCAGUUGAUAGAAUUGAUGUGAUAGAAAGUGGACAGAUCGCCGAUCGCUCUCCUACAAACAAGAAGGAGAUUUAAACCGACAGUGAGUACAUGACCUUGAUGUCCCUUUGAGGCCUUCUGAAUUCACUUCAUUUAAUUUUCUGGUCAGUGAGUGUAAUGCACCCAGUAAAGUCAACAGGAAAACUUUACAUGUUCUUCCACAGUCGUAGAGAGGAGCUCAUGGUUCGUAGAGACAGCUGCCAGAGACGGAGAAACACAAGAACAGAGAGAAGAUGAUCAGGAUCCUUCUGUUUCUCAGCCUGGCGUCCUCUGUCUGGACGUUUGUUUUGAAAAGGACUCCGACUGUCUUUGAGGCCAAAGAGAACGACAACAUCACCAUCAGCCUGGACAGUCAGCUCCAAGCUGACGUGUCUCUGGCUGACAUGAUGUGUGUUUUCCACUCAGACGCCACUAAGAUUUUGUUUAAAAUGAUCAGAGGAGUGGAGGACUCUGAGUCUCAGGAUGAGCAGUUUGCAGGACGAGUUCAGACUGACAGAGACGCUCUGAGAGGAGGACGAAUCAGACUUCAUCUGUCCAGAGUCACAGCUGAAGACUCUGGAAGCUACAGGUGUGACGUGGCUGCUGACUACGACAACAGCCUGAAGAGAUGGAGGCUCGAGACAAAUGAAAACUUUGUUUUGAGUGUGGGUCCAACCUCUGAUGGAGACAGCAGUGACGUGUCACUUAAACCUCCAAUGUUUGGACCACCAAAAGAUCCACAACUGGCAGGAAGAAGGACAAGUCAGGAGGAAACAGCUCUGUUUGUUCUGGCCGUAUUUUUAAUUAUUGCAAAUGCAGGAACCAUCAUACUUUCAAUAAAAUUUCUUCAUGAUGGUUUAAAAUGAUCAACAACAUGAUGAAACGCUGCCACUGUGUCCCUGAUCAAAUGAGUCAAACCAACAGCGACUUUCUUACCUGCUCCAGUUAUGCUACGGUUAAAAACAAACAAACAGCAGCAAAAAAAAGCUCACUAUAAGAAAAUUUACCUGUUAGUGCCAAAAAAAAAUUACACUUGAAAGAUGAAAAAUGACAAAAAAAGAAAAUCAGAGAUGUUAAAAUGCUGAUUCUUUGCUUUUGAAAAUCUUUUUCAGUAUUUGUUUAUUUUUGUAAAAUGAGCUUUUGAACUAAGAGUUGAUAGAAAUUAGAUUUCAGAAGCAAAUAAUUAUAGAUGUAGUGAGUUAUGGUGUAAUUUCCCCAUAUAUAACGCAUAUGCAGUAUGAUGUAUUUUUUUCACUUAAAAAUACUCAAAUGAAGAUCAUUGUAUAUCAUGGAGGCAACAGCUGUGGGUCUUUAAGGAAGAAAGAACAGAAUAGCCUGUUCACUAAUAUUCUGUACCAUCUCUUCAAAGUCCUUCUUUUCUGUGUCUAUUACCACAUUGUGUUCAUGUGCACAGAGAAAUAAUUUACUUGUUAUCAAAAGGGACUUUGACAUAUGAUUUCAUCAGUUAAAUUGCACAAGGCAUAUUGUAGAGGACACAGCAGUCAUGAGCGGCACUAAUGCUAACUUUAUUUGAAACAACUUGUUUGUAGAUAUUUUGAUUUUGUUCUUGAAAUAAUAUUUUUGACUUUUACAAAUAUUGUCUUAUUCUCAAAAUGCAAAACAUAAAAAAAGUUGUCAGUCAAGUCCCCACAGUGCUGCUUGGUAGACUGCUGCAACAGCUGCGGGCGGUGAAAUGGCUGUAAAGUGAAAUGUCUUUCACUUCUUGUUUUUCUGGUUUUUCUUUACACACUUGGCAGUUGAGACACUUUGCCAGCUGAUUGCAAACUGGUGAACUCAACCCAGAGGAAGCAAUGGAGUUUGAUGUGAUUCUUGAACAUGUUACUAUACUCAUACUUCCUGGACCACAGUGUGACCGAUCUUUUGAGUGGACAGACACAUUAAUGUGAAAGGCAAGAAGAAAGGUGUUUAAAAGGUGUUUCAAUCUGCACAUGUUUGGUCAUGAAUUGGGCAUUGAUCUGCUCACUUCAGAAUACAUCCAUAUUACUUGUUGAGGGAAUUCUCCUUUGGUUUGAUUCCUUGUUGUAUUCAUUGAACUUUGUAUUUUCAUUUCCUUUUUUUUCUCUUGUCUAUGUAUUUUAAGUGAUGCUUUUAUGGGUAUGUUUAAUAAUUUGGCAUUUAUAACACAGUAAUUUCCCUGCUUUUGGGUUAAAUAAAGCAUAUUUUAUCUCA